GUAGGUGGCAAGCGUUGUCCGGAAUUAUUGGGCGUAAAGCGCGCGCAGGCGGUCCUUUAAGUCUGAUGUGAAAGCCCACGGCUCAACUGUGGAGGGUCAUUGGAAACUGGGGGACUUGAGUACAGAAGAGGAAAGCGGAAUUCCACGUGUAGCGGUGAAAUGCGUAGAGAUGUGGAGGAACACCAGUGGCGAAGGCGGCUUUCUGGUCUGUAACUGACGCUGAGGCGCGAAAGCGUGGGGAGCAAACAGGAUUAGAUACCCUGGUAGUCCACGCCGUAGACGAUGAGUGCUAAGUGUUAGGGGGUUUCCGCCCCUUAGUGCUGCAGCUAACGCAUUAAGCACUCCGCCUGGGAGUACGGCCGCAAGGCUG
rnacentral:rRNA from 1 species